rnacentral:misc_RNA from 1 species
UUUCCGUAGGUGAACCUGCGGAAGGAUCAUUAUUGAAUGAAACACUUCUGGCUUUAUGCUGUUGUGCUGGCCCUUUGGGCAAUGUGCACACGGCUCUGGUCACUUGUUUCUUCUGUUCCACCUGUGCACUGCCUGUGGACACGCUGUGUCUAUGAUAUUUGUUAGCACACAACAAUGUUAGUUGGCAUGUUAUAUGUAAUAAUAAAAUAUACAACUUUCAACAACGGAUCUCUUGGCUCUC